UCUGCCGCCCGCCCUGUCUGGGCAGGGCAGGGCACCCAGAGCUCGCUCUCUCGCCUCUCUGGAUUCCCGGGGGCAAGCCCUGGGCUUGCGUCAAGCGAAUGCCUGGCGGAUGACUACACGGGAGUGAGCUCUACAAGUUAACGCAAGUCCUGGGUCCAGGGCCCGGGUGCACAAUUCCCCUGAGUGCGAGAGUUCUCGGGCAGUGAGAGAGAGGGGUGCCGUAAACAGGGGGAGAAAUGUCACAGCGUGCGCAACAAGUAUUAGGCACUUAAAAAAAAAAGUCCAAUUAACACGGAAGACAAAGAGCUCUAUGCUCUUAACGUAGGUAUGUCUGGCUGUGGGUCAGUUUAUUCCAGUUGAAAGCUCAUUUGCAAGAGGAGACAGACUAAGGGUUAUUUCUACUGGGCAUCCAGGGAAUGAGAAGCACUGCAGCGUCCAGUUCAAGUCCCAAAGACAGAGACGCCUGUACUGCGGCGGGGGCCAGGAGCCGCUCAGAACACCGUUUGCCCACACUGGGACCCCCGCGUGUGCCAAAGCUCAGGGCAGCCACGUUCUACAGCUCACCGUCUCCAUAUAUCCACCCAGCGACGGGCGAAGGACCUGCUUCGCUGGGGAUGCUAAGCUUGCCUUCCCCGAGGACUUCUUCGUUUGGAAAAACGAGGGAAACUUGGGGCUGAUGUAAAAUGGUUCCAGAAGGCAGAGGGAUGCCUUCUUUUCACAGGAGGGCUGCCAGAGUGCCCUCGACUACACAUCAGUAAAGUAUGUGCUUGCUCCUUCCACGCCCUUUGCAACAUUCAUGAAGCCUCAGGCCAUCACCCCCCACAAAUAAAUCACCACCAGAGAAAGCAAAGCAGUUGGAGGGUGAGCGAGAUUAACAGCUCAGCAGAGGAGAGACAGCCAGAAGAGCCUGCAUGUAGGCACGAUGCCUGGGGGACGCCAAGCCCUGCAUCCCAUCCCGGGACGCCGAGCCCCGCACCGGAGGAUGGACGUCCUACGCUGCCAUCUCAUUAGAAGGCGUCAGAGAUGAAACAGAAGACAAGCGUGGAAACGUCUGCCUCAGACAUCAGGAGCAGGGAACAGCAGUUUAGCAACGCUGCCCUGGAGCACAGGUCACAGGUUUCCGCCUGUAAUUCUGUGAUAUUUCAGCGAUUUUAAAGCAUCUUCUUGCUACUGAACAGUGCAUAAGUAACUGCACUUAAUUUGGCAGAGAAGCUUCAAAACCUCACGCAGUGCGGAUUGAGGAGGCAAUGGGGGCUUCCCAGGCGGCUCAGUGGUCAAGAAGCCACCUGCCAGUGGAGGAGACAGGGGUUCCAUCUCUGGUCUGGGAAGAUCCCCACAUGCUCCUCGGGUGACUAAGUCCACGCGCCACAACUACAGAGCCUGCGCUGCAGAGUCCGGAAGCUACAGUGACUGAACCCACACACCGCAACUACCGAAGCCCAUGCUCCAUAACCAGAGGAACCACCGCAACCAGAGAGUGGUCCCCGCUGGCCCCAACCAGAGACCAGCCCUGCCCAAAGCAAAUAAAAACCAUUUCUUUGAAAAGAUGCAGUUGUAACAUGUACUUGAGAGACUGAUCUUUCUUUCAUGCUUAGCUGUUUGGAUGCGAUAUUUAGAAAUUCACGUCUUGAUGCUGUCGCUGUAGAAAAGUUACCUGCACAGCUGUCCACCCGGGGGCUGUGCUCACAGGCCUUGAGGAGGGCCCCAGAGGCCAGCGAUCUCUGGUGGAAAGCUGACUCCAGAGGACUGUUUCAGCUGCAUCACGAAACAACGAUGCUCUCGAAUCUAGGGGCAGCUUCUGUCUUGAGCAGCGGUCUCAAGUCCCAUGAUGCUCAAACGGAUCAACAGACUCCUGCACUCUCUUCUCCAGGUUUCUGAAGGCAUACUGCAUUUUUGUUAAUGCCUGAUCAUCCUGCUCUUUUUCAAUGGACACAGAAAACACGCUCAUUUUAUUUCACAUUCCAGAUGAACAACAGCUGCCAAAGGAACCGUUUGGAGCAAUGGCGCACCCUCGUGGCCCCAAGAAGCAAAUGGUAUCCCCUCUGCAUUUGAACUUGGUCUCAUGAUUUUUGAAACUAAGCAACUACAAAUAAUUAGCAUAAUAAUAUUAACCAUAAUAUGGCAUCAGAAGAAAAACACCUUAGGAAUGAAUGGGAUAAACGGAAAGGCACAGACAAUUGAACAUGCAGCUGUUCUUCAUUCCAAGGGCCCAGUGGCCCCAGAACACGCUCCGAAGUUGUACACAGCUUUGAGCUGUGAGGUACACGUUUGGAAUUUUAUGAAGCAGUUUUCUUAUCCAAACUGUAGGACUCUUACUUGUUGCGUCUCAGUCUUCUCUUAGGCCCCUUCUGCAUGCUGAAAGAAUAACCUGGACGACGCCACGAGGACGUGUCCGGUGCUCUGGUCUGGGUGUUUCCCGGGUGAUGAACCACCAGGAGUCCCAGCGUUCUCAGCCGCACGGCUGGUCUCGGUCACCUGGGGUGUGGGGACAAGCCUCUCCCACUGCAGCUGCCGACUAUUACAGCCACUGCGCUGGGGGCAGAAGCUGCUAAUUCGGGUGUUUGUAAGAAAGUCUUAAGUGGCUCCAGACAAUCUUUUCUAAGUGAAGAGUGUUUUGUAAAAGCCCACAGGAGGAAAAUAGAUGCUUUCUAAUUUUAGAGUUGCACUAACGAUGGUGUCCUUGAGGUUUCGAUGCAUGUUCCCAGGCACUGGUUAAUGUUACUCCGGGGAAAUAUAAUUAGCACAUUCGGGCACCCUGGCUGGAGACCUCUCUGCGGUCCUCCCUGCGAGUCCUAGACUUAGGGAUUUCCAAAGGAUUGGUGCCCGUCUAGAAAAUCAUUAACUUCACUUUUCUGCAUACACCCAAGAAGAAUUCACCCAACUCUAAUCUAUAGUAAAAGGAGGCUUAUGAAGCUGUAAUAAACUUUUAGUUCCAAAAGCAAAGCAAA